rnacentral:tRNA from 1 species
GGAGGGAUGGCCGAGCGGACGAAGGCGAUAGUCUUGAAAACUAUUGUAUGUAUUCCAUACCGUGGGUUCGAAUCCCACUCCCUCCGCAA